CACUAUUUCUCCUUCAUGAGAUACCACAAGCAUAUGAGGUGUCAGCAUCAACUCAAGCUUCACAAUAAAGGACAAAUGAGAUGCAUGGAGUUUUUCAGAGGUUAAGAAGGCCAACCUUUGUGCCAACAAGAUCUACACAAUUUAGUUCACCAUUUGAGAUGCCCCUAGAACCUGAACAAAGACCUGCAACUAGCCAACCACCAUCCAACAACAAUGUAGAAGGAGAAAACAACCAGUCCUGAUAUCUACAUCAGCAAAAAUACAAAAAAGAUCUGAAGGUUCAAGUACGAGUAUCGGUUUCCAGAGAGAGUGUUGUCGAUCCAAUAGGCCAAACUUUGACUAAUCAGUUGAAAAGUCUUUCUGCCUCGUAUAGGCCAAGUACCGGGUCCAGCUCAUCCAAGGGGCAAGAUGCAUCUAGGAAGAAAGAUUGAAAUGGCCAUAGAAUUGUAUGCACAUCAUGCAAGAAUUUUGGUAUGACCAUUGGAUGAAUUUAAGUCUUUUGUUAUGUUACGCAGAAUUGAUGAUACAACUAAGUAUUUUGGCAGCAACUUUUGCAAUGUAAGAUGGGUUUUAUUUAAGUUGUGGUACAAUGAAGUGUGUUUUGUUGUGGUA